rnacentral:lncRNA from 13 species
AUGAGAGAGUGGGCAGGAACGGUUAAGGUAGGAGAGGUUGGGGCAGGGCUGGUUAAGGUAGGGGAGGUUGGGGCAGGAACGGUUAAGGCAGGGGAGGUUGGGGCAGGGCUGGUUAAGGUAGGAGAGGGUGGGGCAGGGCUGGUUAAGGUAGGAGAGGUUGAGGCAGGGCUGGUUAAGGUAGGGGAGGUUGGGGCAGGGCUGGUUAAGGUAGGAGAGGUUGGGGCAGGGCUGGUUAAGGUAGGAGAGGUUGAGGCAGGGCUGGUUUGUGAUGGCUGGGGGGAAUGGGUUGUGAUUACCGGUAAUGGGAACGGGGAAAAUAAGAAAUCAAAGUGUGGUGCAGUAGGUGAUAUUAAUGUGAGGGGACUGGACAUGGAGGCUGAUGGUGUUCCCAGAGGAAGGGUGGCUGAGGCACAAAUCCUGUGUGUCCAGGAUUUGUUGGAGCAGAUUGACUUGGGAGCCCUGUGGUGUCCAGCCAGACGUGAUGGGUUGGGGUGUAGAGCCAGAGUGAGAUGGUGCAGGACAGGAGGUGCUGGGUUGGGGUGUAGAGCCAGAGUGGAUGGAGUGAGAUGGUGCAGGACAGGAGGUGAUGGGUUGGAGAGCAGAGCCAGAGUGGAUGGAGUGAGAUGGUGCAGGACAGGAGGUGAUGGGUUGGAGAGCAGAGCCAGAGUGGAUGGAGUGAGAUGGUGCAGGACAGGAGGUGAUGGGUUGGGGUGGCACUGUUGGUGCUGGCCAAGGUGUUGA